rnacentral:misc_RNA from 1 species
AAAGUCGUAACAAGGUUUCCGUAGGUGAACCUGCGGAAGGAUCAUUAAAGAGAUAGGGUUCUUUUGAGCCCGACCUCCAACCAUUUGUUAAACAUACUUUGUUGCUUUGGCAGGCCCCGUCCCCCUGCUAACCAGGGGGCCGGCCGGGGGCGGUUCAUUCGCCUCUGGUCAGUGCUUGCCAGUAGCCAAUCUAAAUUCUUUAUAAUCAUGUCGUCUGAAUCUUAAUUAUAAAUUUAAUUAAAA